rnacentral:rRNA from 1 species
CUACGUGCCAGCAGCCGCGGUAAUACGUAGGUGGCGAGCGUUAUCCGGAUUUACUGGGCGUAAAGGGAGCGUAGGCGGAUGAUUAAGUGGGAUGUGAAAUACCCGGGCUCAACUUGGGUGCUGCAUUCCAAACUGGUUAUCUAGAGUGCAGGAGAGGAGAGUGGAAUUCCUAGUGUAGCGGUGAAAUGCGUAGAGAUUAGGAAGAACACCAGUGGCGAAGGCGACUCUCUGGACUGUAACUGACGCUGAGGCUCGAAAGCGUGGGGAGCA